rnacentral:lncRNA from 1 species
AUUGUCCUAAUCUAUAGGGUUCAUCAUUAUCUUUUAAAUAUAGAAAGACAGCUAUAAAUGAUGAAUCAAAGAAUAUCUUUAUUAAUAUAUAAAUAUCAAUACAUGAGUUAGGGUUUUACAAAGAUAAGUACCAUCGAAAUAUAAAUUUGAUUGGCUUUAGGGCACCUAUCUUUCAGCAUCUACUCAUUGGUCAAAUAUUACUAUUUCUUAAUCAAUGGAUAAUUCUCCCAACCAGCAAGCUCUGGCACCAU